rnacentral:rRNA from 1 species
GAUGAACGCUGGCGGCGUGCCUAAUACAUGCAAGUCGAGCGAACAGACGAGGAGCUUGCUCCUCUGACGUUAGCGGCGGACGGGUGAGUAACACGUGGAUAACCUACCUAUAAGACUGGGAUAACUUCGGGAAACCGGAGCUAAUACCGGAUAAUAUAUUGAACCGCAUGGUUCAAUAGUGAAAGACGGUUUUGCUGUCACUUAUAGAUGGAUCCGCGCCGCAUUAGCUAGUUGGUAAGGUAACGUCUUACCAAGGCAACGAUGCGUAGCCGACCUGAGAGGGUGAUCGGCCACACUGGAACUGAGACACGGUCCAGACUCCUACGGGAGGCAGCAGUAGGGAAUCUUCCGCAAUGGGCGAAAGCCUGACGGAGCAACGCCGCGUGAGUGAUGAAGGUCUUCGGAUCGUAAAACUCUGUUAUUAGGGAAGAACAAAUGUGUAAGUAACUAUGCACGUCUUGACGGUACCUAAUCAGAAAGCCACGGCUAACUACGUG